GGGUGCGUAACGCGUGAGCAACCUACCUCUAUCAGGGGGAUAGCCUCUCGAAAGAGAGAUUAACACCGCAUAACAUCAACAGUUCGCAUGUCCGGUUGAUUAAAUAUUUAUAGGAUAGAGAUGGGCUCGCGUGACAUUAGCUAGUUGGUAGGGUAACGGCCUACCAAGGCGACGAUGUCUAGGGGCUCUGAGAGGAGAAUCCCCCACACUGGUACUGAGACACGGACCAGACUCCUACGGGAGGCAGCAGUAAGGAAUAUUGGUCAAUGGGCGGAAGCCUGAACCAGCCAUGCCGCGUGCAGGAUGACUGCCCUAUGGGUUGUAAACUGCUUUUGUCCAGGAAUAAACCCAGAUACGAGUAUCUGGCUGAAUGUACUGGAAGAAUAAGGAUCGGCUAACUCCGUGCCAGCAGCCGCGGUAAUACGGAGGAUCCGAGCGUUAUCCGGAUUUAUUGGGUUUAAAGGGUGCGUAGGCGGCCUGUUAAGUCAGGGGUGAAAUACG
rnacentral:rRNA from 1 species